UUUCCAAAUGAGUCCAUCAAUGAUGAGAGGAUAGCUCUGAAGCAUGGGCUGGAAUAUAUUUCAACAGCUGUGAGAGAUAUUUCUCUCUAACCCUUCUAUUUUUCUGCCUCGGACUGUAUCCUGUUCAACGUUAAUAGUCUGAAUUGGAGUGAAUUAUCACGCGGUUUCGUCUCAGUUUUCAGAUCAAAUGUGAGGCGGCAACUGAACAGAAACAAACUCAAGGAAAUCAAUAAUUGUUGAGGAGGGGACUGUUUCAACCAUUAUUUCUAGCCGAUUGCGCAUUGGUGUGGACAACAUUUUUUGACGUAGGAACCACGGUUUUUAGGGGUUAAUACGAAAUUAGCUCUGUAAAAGACAAAGAAAGAUACGAACAGAGUGAAGUGUAGGCAUACUUUAUCAUGCAUGAGAAUGUUUUCCUCUCAAUAGUGAGUGCAUUCUUGGACUGAUAAACUGUCUGGUUGAUGGACGGCAACUUCAAGAAACAAUCAGGAAAGUAGCCUAGGUGCUAGCUGUCACCACAAUGAUAUAUGGCUCUAUAGGCUGACGGGAUGAAGAGCUGGGAGAUGGCGUGGCCGGUACACUGGGGCGGCCUCCUGCUCUGCAUAGUGAUCCUCUACAGCUAACCAGUGUCCACCGGCAACCACAGCCCCUUGGGGCAGUCGGGUUCAUCACAGGUAAAGACAGGUACCUGUGAAGUGGUGGAUGCCCAUCACUGCUGCAAUAAGAACAAGAUUGAGGAGCGCUCUCAAACUGUCAAGUGUUCCUGCUUCCCUGGCCAGGUCGCCGGGAAAACAAGAGCAAUGCCCUCUUGUGUUGAAGCAUCCAUCAUGCUUCAGAAGUGGUGGUGCCAGAUGCAGCCCUGUCUUAAAGGGAGAGGAGUGUAAAGUACUGCCGGAUCUCAAUGGCUGGUCCUGUAGCUCUGGAAACAAAGUCAAGACCACCAAGGUGAGUUUAUGUGAAGGGACAACAAAGGAAAUUAAAUUAAGGACCUUGAAUUCAUGCAUUAUUACAGUACAGUUGGAAGGCAAUGAAACCAACCUAUUCAGAAAACAAUCAUUAAAUGACAAGCAAACGAUACAUCUGUUUCGACUAGUAUUACAUCAAGGAAAUGGCACCAAUGAUACAUGCAUGUUUCAAAGUGGUCCCUGUGUAAAGAUGAUGAUAAAUAACCUAAUGAAAUGAUUGAUUGUUUUGAUAAAAGUAAGGAAUGUAAGCCCGCUCUCUCUCCCCCUCACCCCUCCCCAUGAAGCGUAAUUAUGUUUGCACAUCUAGCUAAUGCAAAAAUUGAAUGACAGCAUUUGUGCAGAAUCAUCACACGUGUUUACAGUACUUGCAAUAAGCCUUGCUUUAAUUAUAAAAUAUCCCACAAUCUGACAUGAUUACUGCUCCCAGUCAGUCACGGAGGGCUAAGCAAGCUUCAUUUGGUAAUUCUGUGGAAGAUGGGGCCAAGGGGACAAACAUGAAAUGAGACCGUUUUAUACAUGUAAACCAGCUGAUACAGAGAUCUAAAUGGGAUGUAAUUCAAUCUGACAGCCUUUCAUGCCAGUGGACAAACUGCUGCCUUUAGGAAUGUGCAAAUCUGUGAUGUCUUGCCUUUUAUCAGCUUGAAAUAUAUAUGCAGUAGGGAAACCUAUCAUGAGUCAACUUGAAGAGAAUAGAAAAACAGCUGAACAUAUACUGCAUAAAGUAAUUCAUUAAUAAAAAACGAAACAAACAUUCCAACAUGAAUCUUUCUGGAUAGGUAUACUAUACCCAUCUGAUGUUAUAGUUGCCUCAGGAAGAAACUCUGUUCUGCCAUUUCCCUGUCCACUAUAUACAGUAUGUCUAAGAUUUGGAUCAGGCAGUAGAAAUAAUGAUUUCUAGUGAAGGCUGUUGGUACAGGGUCACCCAGCAUUUAAUAGACCUUUCAGAAGUUCUUUGAUUGCACCCUGUUGCAGGAUUUGUUGUUGUUGUUGCUUUAAGUGUACUUGAGGUUUAAAAAGGCUUCUGCGGUUUGUAAAUUCCAAUUAAAAAUGUCAGUCUUUAAUUUUUCUUAUGAAAAAUGUAUCAACCCUUACACAAAUGUCCACUAAUUAGAAUCCACACAAUUAACUUUUCCUGUUGUUGCAGGAUUAUUUUCCUGCUGUAGCAAACUGGCUCUAAUUAAGAUUCUACAUCUGUACUACUUUUACCUUUUCCAGGUAGCGCAGUAACAAAACCCAUCUCAGCCAAUCGACUGAGACCCUGAAUGUGCCCUGGCCUACAGUAAAUCUCACUAGUUUUUAAGAUCUCGUUCAGUUCCUGGGAUACAAUUAGGAAUACACUCGCAAAUGAGCAGCUCUACCAGAUAAAUAAAGUGACUGGUGUGAAUGAAAAGGAGAACUCGAGGAAUUCAAGGAGCCUGUGCAAUAAAGUAUGUAUCCCUACUCCCCUGCCU